rnacentral:misc_RNA from 1 species
AACUUUUGGCAAUGGAUCUCUUGGCUCUCGCAUCGAUGAAGAACGCAGCGAAAGGCGAUACGUAAUGUGAAUUGCAGAAUUCAGUGAAUCAUCGAAUCUUUGAACGCACCUUGCGCCCCUUGGUAUUCCGAGGGGUGCACCCGUUUGAGUGUCGUGAACACCCUCAACCUUCUUGGUUUAUCGACCGGGAAGGAUUGGACUUUGGAGGUUUUUGUUGCUGGCCUCGUUUGAAGCCAGCUCCUCCUAAAUGAAUUAGUGGGGUCCGCCGUGCCGAUCCUCGACGUGAUAAGUACGCUUCUACGUCUUGGGGUUUCGCACCGUUCUCGCUUCCAACUUCGAGUUGUGACUCGACCUUAUAAACCUUGACCUCAAAUCGGGUGAGACUACCCGCUGAACUUAAGCAUAUCAAUAAGCGGAGGCU